rnacentral:lncRNA from 1 species
UCUUCUCUCGCUCCCAUCCGCCUGCCUAAAACAACCACCUAACAAGAAAACCAUGUUAAUGUCCUGCAAUCGCCCCCUAUCUCUGGAAGGGUCCCGGGAUAGAUUUUAAGUAAAAGGAGCCAGAGAAAGUGCCUCCUCCACCCUUCUCUUACAUCAAGGUCCAUCUGGAAGGACACAAGGACCCAAGUAAAUGAAGAGCCAAACCAGUAAACACAGAGUGAUCCGAUGCAGCAACAUCAUUGACCUUAUAGCUGUUAAUUAGUCACUCACUGACGUUGCUGAAGACUGGAGCCCAAAGCCAAGUCAAAGCAUUUAUUGAUGUUGCUGGCAGCUCAGAGGCAAAGGAAGGGGAAACUCCUCCUGAACCAAGACUGGACUAGGACUGGACCGUACAAGGGAAAGACCUCAAAGGUCUCACACACAUAUACACUCAACUCUAAAAUAUGAAAUAGCCACCUCAUCUCAACUAUUUCUCCCCAGUACUAAACUACAACCCAGGUUCAUGAACCACAUCUGAAAUAAAGGGAGCAAAAACCCCCAUAAUAUAAUGUAUUUCCUAAAAACUGAACAAGCAAUCCACUCAAGUUUCCCAUGAAUAUUUCCCAAAAAUGUCCAGGCUCAGGCUUAUUUCAAGGAAAAACACAAUUUUAUAGAUAACUGAAGUACUUAGUUGCAGUUCUAAGCUGGAUUUCUGAUUUUCAAAAUGAUCUUUAUUCAGUUUUGAUUGUUCUAAAAGACAUAAGAAAAAGGAAAACCAUUCCAAAUAGGAUUUUGCAGCUAGAAACAUCAUUGCAUAGUUUUUCUAAAACAGAAAGACUGCAGCCACCCUGGCCAAAAGCCUUCAGAAGGCUUUGUUCUGGGGCUGGGAACACCUAUUUAAAAAGGUUGUACAGAUCUUUCAAGAGCAGGCUGGAUUUAAGUAAAAGAAAAUAAAUUCAAAAUUGGUAUAAGCUCAUCUGGGAAAACAAAGGGCAGGCAAAGGAAGCUUAAACACCCAGCACACUUUUGAUAUGACCUGGGAGUCCAGGUAUUAUGGUCCAUCUGCAAUAGCCUGUUCUCUAUGUCACUGACAAUUGAGACUUUCUGCCCAAAACACAGUGGCAACCUUCAGAGGACUUAAAUUCCAAAAGCAGUCCUGCAGGACAUUUAUGAGCACUGGGGGCUGUUUUGUAUCAUGGGAAAACCCUAAAGGUCUCCUAGAGCCAGGUCUCUCAAGGUGAGAGCAGGUCCCCAAACCCUCUACACUUGACCACAUAGGCUGAGAUAGUAAUGCUCUUUCACAAUCUCAUCUAUAGGUCCACAGCUGACAACAGACUUGGGGUGACCUGGGAGCCUGUUACCUUCCUCAACUUCCUUGAAAGGUCCCCAAGACCCCUUGGCCUUCUCCACCAUCACAAUCCUACCCAAUAGAGCUCUUAGAGGGUGGUGGUGAGAAGGUUUACAACUAUGGUGUGAGGAAGGUCACUUACUCUGGAAUUGGUAAGAAGUGAAGUCCAAAGUCUGAAUGAGGCGAGGCAGGACAGGGAAAGAAAAGAGGAAAAAAGAGGUGUGUUAAGAGAAGUGUAAACAGUGGGAACUGAAUGAGACAGACAACCAGGAGAGAGAGAGCCUGGAAAGGAAGCAGCAGGU